rnacentral:rRNA from 1 species
GAUGAACGCUGGCGGCGUGCUUAACACAUGCAAGUCGAACGAUGAAGCCCAGCUUGCUGGGUGGAUUAGUGGCGAACGGGUGAGUAACACGUGAGUAACCUGCCCUUGACUCUGGGAUAAGCCUGGGAAACUGGGUCUAAUACUGGAUAUGACUUCUCAUCGCAUGGUGGGGGGUGGAAAGAUUUAUUGGUCUUGGAUGGACUCGCGGCCUAUCAGCUUGUUGGUGAGGUAAUGGCUCACCAAGGCGACGACGGGUAGCCGGCCUGAGAGGGUGACCGGCCACACUGGGACUGAGACACGGCCCAGACUCCUACGGGAGGCAGCAGUGGGGAAUAUUGCACAAUGGGCGCAAGCCUGAUGCAGCGACGCCGCGUGAGGGAUGACGGCCUUCGGGUUGUAAACCUCUUUCAGUAGGGAAGAAGCGAGAGUGACGGUACCUGCAGAAGAAGCGCCGGCUAACUACGUGC